AUCAUUUCUCAGCUUUUUGGCUAAGAUCAAGAUUAGUAUCUGUUUUUGUCAGUUUAAUAUCUGAUACAUCUUCUAUCCGAGGACAAUAUAUUAAAUGGAUUUUUGGAGCACAGAGAUGGAAUUGGAGCUUGCUCCAUCCACUCCAUGCAUCAAUCUGAUAUUGCAGUACCUCCAGGAAUGGUACAAGAAAA